AUUGACUAAGCCCAACCCCUGAUCAAAUCAGAGACCAAACCACCUCGGCGAUUAGGUCAACUCUUAACCUAAUCGGGUCAAACCCAACUGAAUCCAAUUCAAUUGGAUUUGAUCCAAAAAUAAUUACUCAAUCAAAUUGAGUUAAUUAGUGAUCAAAUCACUAAUUAAAUCUCUCAUAAAUACUGAGUCCAAAUUCGAUGGGCAAUCGGGCAUCAAAGUCCAUCUAUAUGAAACC
rnacentral:lncRNA from 1 species